AGAUAAGAAAUGAUGUAUCAUUUAUGAUUUCGGCUCAUACCUAGGUGCCAAUAACACCCUUAUCUA
rnacentral:tRNA from 1 species